CACGUCAUAUCCCUCCUCUGCCCCCUUGCUGAGCCGACCUGGCUGCUCUCUCCCGCAGAGAGCAGCCAGGAUGUCGGCAAGUCAUAGACUUAAAUGCUACCUAUGUGCUGAUGGAAGUUGUGUUGAUAAUUUGUUAGCGGAUACCUGUUUGCCUGAAGUUAGCUACGCCUGCAUGUCAUCCACAGUGAGCAAUGUGCACAUACGUGGCUGUGGAACAGAGGAGUUAUGUAAAUCUUCAAAAAUUUCUUGCUGUAAAACCGAUCUCUGCAACUCGGCCGUCAGACCCAGCGCAACGCUCCUCAUGGGAAUAGCCGCACUUGUCGCCCUCGGUGUUGCUCGUGUCUUCUGAGCAUAAAGAGGAUGUGAACCAGCCUGGAGAAGGAUCUCCACCGGAAACGAAACCGCGCAGAUUUCUAGCCAUUCAUAAUAUAAUAUUUCACGAAAGUAUUUGCACAAAUUGGAUUUGUCCAUCUCUUGUGUAAGCAUGAAAACUGAUUGGCUGCGGGAAUGUGGAAUUGGAUAUCUCAUUUGCUGAUUUACUAAGGGACAUUUCUCAAUAUUGACGUGUUGUAGUGAU